AAUCAAAUCAAAUCAAAUCAAAUCAAAUCAAAUUAAAUCAAAUCAAAUCAAAUCAAAUCAAAUCAAAUUAAAACGAAAUUAAAGAUAAAAAAUUCAGAAAUUGGGUUGCCUCCCAGCAAGCGCUCUUUUAACGUCAUUAGCUUGACCUGGUAAAGCCCAAACACCCAUCAGUAGGUGUUGAUAUUUUCUAUUGGCGUUCUUCCUUCCUCCAUGACACCAACAACAUCUCGAGACUUUUCUUGUCACCAACUCUAAGGAUCUUCCAUCUUCAGAAUUCUGUUUGCUUUGAUAGUCUUGACAACCCAUAACCUAUUCUUGAAUUUCACUUAUAUGCUCGGUUUGGGUUUGUCACUUUUCACAUCAGGGUGUUGGUGAACCAAUUCUCCUUCCUUAUCUGCCUCCUGAUGAUCUUGUGCUCCUAGUACC
rnacentral:lncRNA from 1 species